rnacentral:sRNA from 2 species
CCCAGAGGUAUUGAUAGGUGGAGUAAGCACCAAUUUGCUGCUCACUUGAAUUACACCAACCUGCGCGGAUGCGCAGGUUUUUUUU